AUUAAGUUGGACAAAUUUUUUCACAAAUAUUUAAUUAGUAUCACUUUAACACUUUGAACAGUAAUUAAAAGCACGAUCACAAUCAGAUUAUCAGAUUAUAUGGAAUUCCAGUUGAUACCUAAAUGAUAAAUCGAAACCUUUUCAUUUGAAGUAAAAAUCGUUAUUCAAAUGAAGCAAAGACAAAAAUUACACCAACAAUUAACUGUGCCAUCAUCAUUUAUAUAUAUAAAUCAUGGAAACAAUUAACAUAAAAUGAUCAAUUUGCUAGAAGAAACUGGAUUUGAUUAAAUUGGAGCACGAAACUUACCAAUACAUAUACUAAUUGCUAAUCUACAAUUAACUUUUCAGAUUAAAGGAAUAGCACAAACAGGAUAAAACAAACAAUUAAGAAAACAUUGGAAACAAUGGACAACAACAAUCAAUAGAUAUUAAAUGAUGGAUUUUAAAGACAAUCAAUUUAAAUUGUUUCGGAUCGUUGGAAAAGUUUAACUAAAUAUCAAAGUUAAAUGUUGACUUUUCGUUAGCAAAAUGACCAAUACAACUUGAUGAUAAUCUAAAAAGUGCUUUUCAACGAUCAACACUUAAUUGAGAAUAAAAAUAGGUCGAUGGUCGAAAUUGGCCUUGACGAUUUAAGUUAAUUGCUGGUAAACUAUUAACAUGAUGAUGAUGAUGAUGAUCAAGUCGAAUCAUUUAAAAUGAGAAAUUAAAUGAAAGAAAAAGAGAGAAAUUCAGAAGUGGCCUCUUUGCGAUCCCUCUCUCUCUCUCUACGAACCUGUUCUGACCACACCGGACAAAGAAAUAUAAUGAUAACAGUUAACAGUAGUGCCAGUUAAUUGUGAUUAAAGGAAAGAUCAGAAUAAGAAUCAACAAUUUAAUUCCAAGAAUAAGAUAUUAAACAUUUAACAUUUCUGGUCAAGGUUAUUAUUAUAACCGUUUACUGAUGAGCUUUGUUUCAGAUUUGUUAUUAUGUUUGACGAGAAAUUAUUACUUAUAUUAUCUUGAUUAUGAUUAAUUUAAUCAUUAUUCUUAAAUUGUGAUUUAAUUCAUUCAACUUAUUUAACUUUAUCUCUCUUUUUUUUUGUUGCUUUCAUUUGAUUUUGUUUUGUUCACAAUUCUCUCGAUAUAAUUAUCAUCAUA